AGAGUUUGAUCCUGGCUCAGGAUGAACGCUGGCGGCGUGCCUAACACAUGCAAGUCGAGCGAUUUUCUUCGGAAGAGAGCGGCGGACGGGUGAGUAACGCGUGGGUAACCUGCCUCAUACACAUGGAUAACAUACCGAAAGGUAUGCUAAUACAAGAUGAUAUAAGAGAUUCGCAUGGAUUUCUUAUCAAAGCUCCGGCGGUAUGAGAUGGACCCGCGUCUGAUUAGCUAGUUGGUAAGGUAACGGCUUACCAAGGCGACGAUCAGUAGCCGACCUGAGAGGGUGAUCGGCCACAUUGGAACUGAGACACGGUCCAAACUCCUACGGGAGGCAGCAGUGGGGAAUAUUGCACAAUGGGCGAAAGCCUGAUGCAGCAACGCCGCGUGAGCGAUGAAGGCCUUCGGGUCGUAAAGCUCUGUCCUCAAGGAAGAUAAUGACGGUACUUGAGGAGGAAGCCCCGGCUAACUACGUGCCAGCAGCCGCGGUAAUACGUAGGGGGCUAGCGUUAUCCGGAUUUACUGGGCGUAAAGGGUGCGUAGGUGGUUUCUUAAGUCAGGAGUGAAAGGCUACGGCUCAACCGUAGUAAGCUCUUGAAACUGGGAAACUUGAGUGCAGGAGAGGAAAGUGGAAUUCCUAGUGUAGCGGUGAAAUGCGUAGAUAUUAGGAGGAACACCAGUAGCGAAGGCGGCUUUCUGGACUGUAACUGACACUGAGGCACGAAAGCGUGGGGAGCAAACAGGAUUAGAUACCCUGGUAGUCCACGCCGUAAACGAUGAGUACUAGUGUCGGGGGUUACCCCCCUCGGUGCCGCAGCUAACGCAUUAAGUACUCCGCCUGGGGAGUACGCUCGCAAGAGUGAAACUCAAAGGAAUUGACGG
rnacentral:rRNA from 1 species